CAGGAUUAGAUACCCUGGUAGUCCACGCAGUAAACGAUGAUUACUAGGAGUUUGCGAUAAAAUGUAAGCUCUACAGCGAAAGCGUUAAGUAACCCACCUGGGGAGUACGCCGGCAACGGUGAAACUCAAAGGAAUUGACGGGGGCCCGCACAAGCGGAGGAACAUGUGGUUUAAUUCGAUGAUACGCGAGGAACCUUACCCGGGUUUGAACGUAGUUUGACAGGGGUGGAAACACUUUUUCUAGCAAUAGCAAAUUACGAGGUGCUGCAUGGUUGUCGUCAGCUCGUGCCGUGAGGUGUCGGCUUAAGUGCCAUAACGAGCGCAACCCUUGCCGUUAGUUACUAACAAGUAGUGUUGAGGACUCUAGCGGGACUGCCAGCGUAAGCUGUGAGGAAGGUGGGGAUGACGUCAAAUCAGCACGGCCCUUACAUCCGGGGCGACACACGUGUUACAAUGGCAUGGACAAAGGGCAGCUACCUGGCGACAGGAUGCUAAUCUCCAAACCAUGUCUCAGUUCGGAUCGGAGUCUGCAACUCGACUCCGUGAAGCUGGAUUCGCUAGUAAUCGCGCAUCAGCCAUGGCGCGGUGAAUACGUUCCCGGGCCUUGUACACACCGCCCGUCAAGCCAUGGGAGCCGGGGGUACCUGAAGUCCGUAACCGCGAGGAUCGGCCUAGGGUAAAACUGGUGACUGGGGCUAAGUCGUAACAAGGUAGCCGUACCGGAAGGUGCGGCUG
rnacentral:rRNA from 1 species